rnacentral:rRNA from 1 species
GUUGCAGUUAAAAGCUCGUAGUUGGAUUUCGGAGUGAGCUAGUUGGUCCGCCGCAAGGUGUGUUACUGACUAGUUUGCUCUUCUUCGCAAAGACUGCGUGUGCUCUUGAGUGAGUGUGCGUAGGAUUUACGACGUUUACUUUGAAAAAAUUAGAGUGUUCAAAGCAGGCUAUUGCUUGAAUACAUGAGCAUGGAAUAAUGGAAUAGGACUUUGGUCCCAUUUUGUUGGUUUCUAGGACCGAAGUAAUGAUUAAGAGGGACAAUUGGGGGCGUCCGUAUUUCGUUGUCAGAGGUGAAAUUCUUGGAUUUACGAAAGACGAACAACUGCGAAAGCACUUGCCAAGAGUGUUUUCAUUAAUCAAGAACGAAAGUUAGAGGAUCGAAGACGAUCAGAUACCGUCCUAGUUCUAACCAUAAACGAUGUCGACUAGGGAUCAGCGGGCGUUAUCGUACGACCCCGUUGGCACCUUACGGGAAACCAAAGUUUCUGGAUUCCGGGGGAAGUAUGGUUGCAAAGCUGAAACUUAAAGGAAUUGACGGAAGGGCACCACCAGGAGUGGAGCCUGUGGCUCAAUUUGACUCAACACGGGAAAACUUAC